rnacentral:rRNA from 1 species
UACAGAGGGUGCAAGCGUUAAUCGGAGUUACUGGGCGUAAAGGGCGCGUAGGCGGUUAUUUAAGUUUGAUGUGAAAUCCCUGGGCUUAACCUAGGAACUGCGUCGAAUACUGGAUAACUAGAGUAUUGUAGAGGGUAGUGGAAUUCCAGGUGUAGCGGUGAAAUGCGUAGAUAUCUGGAGGAACACCGGUGGCGAAGGCGCCCACCUGGCCUGCUACUGACGCUGAAGCUCGAAAGCUAGGGGAGCAAACGGG